UUUUUUUUUCUUUUUGUUUUCUUGACUCAGGAAAUUAUUACUCUGUCCCAAAAGGGAACAAAUGUGGGAGCAAAUCAAGUAAAGAAAGGAAGCAUUGGUUCUGCAACUCUGCUAUUGACUGGGGUUAUUGCUGUUUUGUGCUAUUGAGUGAACUCAAUGACUCAGAAAAUGGCUUUAUUUUGAAUGAUAAUAUUACCGUUGAAGUGGAGAAAACAAAUUAAGUUCAACAUCCUGACAUUAAUUUAGUGAAAAUAGUAGUCUUUAUCAGGUCACGAUGCCAAACCUCUCAACCAUCAUGUUCUACUACCAGAUAUAAGUCAUAAACUUGGAAGCAUCGUUUCUGGGCACAACACGUGUUAUUGGAUAGAUAGGCCUCAUGGUUGGAACUUUCAUUUGCAAUCGAUUUUUAAAGAAAAUGAAAUUCCGAAGAAUUCUCAUGUAAGUUUUUGUUGAAAAUCACACUCGAACACCAAAGCUUAAUAAGCUGGUAAUCUUUCUUAUUCAUCUUAGUAUUUAAAUUAUAUGUAUGCAAGUUUGCACAUGUUGUUCUGUCUUUGCUAACUCUUCUAGAUAUAGUUGUUUCGUAGGUAUACCAGAUAAGUCAAUCAUGUUGUUUAGGUUUGCUAUCUCAGAAUCAAUUCAAUUUCAUUCCUUUCCUUAUCUUAUCAAGCCAUCUAUGUCUAGCUGGAAUAGAAGAGACUUUAUUCACUCUCUUCAUGUCAAUAAACAACCUUGGGGCCACAAUCAGUGGGUUUCUUGGUGUGGGUUUGGCUUCGUUUUGAACAUCUCUUCGGGUUCUUUUGAUAACCUUGGUUUCGGGAUAGCUAUUUAGUCAUCUGCACAUUUUUGCCAGUUGGAUUCCUAUUUUUGAUACUAGAGGAAACUAUAGGGAUAUCAGCUUAAUUGAAGGAAACAUUGUUCUUGUAUUUUGUUAGAUAUUUAACGGUUUGGGUUGGUUUACCAGUCGUGAAGUGGACGAUCAACCCAGGUAUAGUUUGGAUAGAUACAUACAUCCAUGAAGUGUUGAUUCUUGGGUUUUGAAUAGUUGAGGUUGAGAUACAAUA